rnacentral:rRNA from 1 species
GCCAGCUGCCAUAUCACCCUGCAACUCACAACUGGCAGCCCACUGAAACUCAGUAGGUGUGAGCCUGGUCAGUACCUGGAUGGGAGACCUCCUGGGAAAAACUAAGGUUGCUGCUGGAA